rnacentral:rRNA from 1 species
UCGGGAAUUUUGCUCAAUGGGGGAAACCCUGAAGCAGCAACGCCGCGUGAGGGAUGAAGGCCUUCGGGUUGUAAACCUCUUUUGUCAGGGACGAUGAUGACGGUACCUGGCGAAUAAGCCACGGCUAACUACGUGCCAGCAGCCGCGGUAAUACGUAGGUGGCAAGCGUUGUCCGGAUUUACUGGGCGUAAAGAGCGCGCAGGCGGUCUUGUAAGUCGAAUGUGAAAGCCCCUGGCUCAACUGGGGAGGGUCAUUCGAUACUGCUUGACUCGAAGGCAGGAGAGGGAAGUGGAAUUCCGGGUGUAGUGGUGAAAUGCGUAGAUAUCCGGAGGAACACCAGUGGCGAAGGCGACUUUCUGGCCUGUUCUUGACGCUGAGGCGCGAAAGCUAGGGGAGCAAACG